rnacentral:rRNA from 1 species
GUAUAUGCCUACAACAUAGCGUUAUUGCACUGGAUCCCAUUAGAACUCCACAGUUAAGUGCACUCGGGCUAGAGUAGUACUAGGAUGGGUGACUGCCUGGGAUGUCCUAGUGUUUUACAUG